UACGAAGGGGGCUAGCGUUGCUCGGAAUUACUGGGCGUAAAGCGCAUGUAGGCGGCUUUCUAAGUCGGGGGUGAAAUCCUGGAGCUCAACUCCAGAACUGCCUUCGAUACUGGAAGACUCGAGUCCGGGAGAGGUGAGUGGAACUGCGAGUGUAGAGGUGAAAUUCGUAGAUAUUCGCAAGAACACCAGUGGCGAAGGCGGCUCACUGGCCCGGUACUGACGCUGAGGUGCGAAAGCGUGGGGAGCAAACAGG
rnacentral:rRNA from 1 species